UUUAGGACUUUGUGGAAACAGCCGGUUGGUGCACACGACACAUGUGAUUGAUCUCACACGCUAAUUUUCCUACCAGUGCACAUAGGCAAAUUGCACCAAUUUAUCUAGAGCACCGGUGGAAUGAUAAAAUAAGUAAACAGACAGAGAAAAAUUGCACUCACCGUGUUGUUGUGCUCAUCAGCAGUGGUCGGCGAAACGCCAUAUGGGGAGCUCGGCAAACCCAAAUCCUCCUCCUCGUCCUCGCUUCGGCUGCGGCCCCGUCGGCGGCGCACCGCUUCGAACAGCUCGGCCUGCAGCAAAAUUCGCCAGUUGCUUUUGAAAAAUUCACAACACACAUAUCCAUGCCAACUGGAGGCAAGCAAUACAUACGGGCAAAAUCAAUACCCUUCGGUGCUCGAGUUGUGUAAAAGAUAUCGAGGUGAGCACGCGGCGUUAUUUAUUUUGUAUGUAAGUUUUGUUCACACUCUUAUUUUAUCUGAAACGGUGCCAACUGUUGUGUGGCGUGUGCAUAUUAUUCCGUGUGUAUUGCCCACACUUGCAUGUUGGCAUAAUUCGGUUUUAUUGUGUUUAGAAAGGAACGACUUGCACUUUCCAAUUCAUUGCCUGCAUUUUAAGUUUUAAAAAGUUUGGUGCUCUCUUGGGCAAUCACACACGGAAGGAUCGUUAAUAUUUUGGCUAUUGUUCUCCCGCGUGAUUUAAAUAGCACAGGUUAAUCAAAACUACCCACCAGACAAUCUCUACUAACAGUUUUAUAAUUUAUUAAAAAAAACGUAUUAAAAUAUGGUAUAGCAGUUAAUAAAUCAAAGAUAAUUGUGCCAUUAACAUUGGCAGAAGUAGCUUCGUGCAUUCUAGGCAAAUAAACUUCAUGAUUAUGCAAAUUGAAAUCAGUUCUUCAUUCCCAGCGCCAUUAAUCUUUCCGUCAAGAACAUCAAGCAUAUUUUUUUUUCUUUUUAACGCGACAAACAUCAUUAUUUUCCUUUAAAAACUAAUGAACUUCAUAAAACUAUCCAAGAAAAAAUAUGAAUCUGGCAUGACGAAUGCCCAUAAUUAUUGCACACGAGAACUCUCUCUCCGGGGCCCAGAUUCCCUAUAAGGCUCAUUUACCCAUAUUUUGCAAAAAGUCACGUAAAUGGCGACGGCCGGCUUGGAGAUGAUUGACCCCCAAGAAGCGCCGGAGCGUCGUUCAUCCACUUCGGCCUCCUUGCUGCUAGCACGGGGGUUGAUUGUGUAUUUGACUUUCUCCGGGUUCUUCUCCAAGGGCAUCAUCAUUGUGGCUCAAGUGUUAUUUACGGACGCCGCCGUUUCUAAGCCAAUUUUCUCAAAUGCCCUCUUGACCACACACGCACGCUGAUGACACUGUCCCAGAAACGCUAACACCGUGUGGGUGUCGCGCAUUAACCAAAAUUACAAAUUUGUUCAAAUAUUUUCCAGUCCGCUUUUGUCGAGCACUUCAAGCCUUUGACUGGCUCUUUAUGAGGAAAUGAGCAUCGGAGAGGAAGUGGCUUGUGGCUUAUCGCUGGGUGUUUAGCUUUUUAAAAAGCAGAAAUGUUUCAUAGUAUUGUGUGUGCCCUCAGCUUAUCAAACAGAGAAAAUUGAGGUCUGAUACCCGAGGAAAAAAUGCGGUGAUUCACUUGUACUUUCGGUGUACUUAAAGAGUAUGAAUUAUCGCCCUGCAUACAAAAUCCACUCCUUUUAUGAGCACCUUUGAACGAGAAAUUCAACUCGGCACAAUGCAAACACACCGAGAAUUAAAUAAUACCACGGUGCCCGGCCAGAACCAGUCAGGUAAGUAUUAUGCUUGAUUUCAAGUGUGCAGCAAGUGGCUACAGGAGAAUUGGCGAUUAUCAAACUGGAGCCUGAAGGCCAACAAGCCAAAUGGGGAAUUUGCAGCAUAUAAAUGCUCAAUUUAGUGCCAGCAAUUCAAAGGGAAGCGAGUCGCGGCAGAAACCCAGCCCAGUCAUUACAAAUACAACAACCAAGGCAAUUUAAAUCACAUUAGUUGUUGUACACCGCGUUGCCAACCAAGAAGAGCCUUUUGCAGCUUCUAUAUUGUCCAAUGUUAGUUGAUGUUUUCUCUAGCUAAAAAAAAAAAAACGCUGCUCACCCGAACUCCUGCAUGUGAAGCAAUCGGCCCGUUUGGAUGCACACCAAUGAGUGGAGAAACUGCUCCAUUCAGUUUAUGGUGGAGGCUGAAUGACUCGGGAAUAUCCAUGGCACUGCCUCCUCUGGGUGAAGAAGAACCAGCUCUUGACUCAGAGUUCCUGCGUGCUGUCCAUCAGCUCGCUGGCCGACCGUGAUCGCAAAUGCACUUCUGGUACCAUCAGGUGAUCGCCGCCAUUGGGGUUGCAAGACUCGCCCAUCUGCUCAGGUAGGUCUUGAGGCGCCUCGGGCACCCUGGGGGCGCGCCGGAACAUUCUCUUGAGGCCGCGCAGUGGGUGAAAUCGGCGCUUCUUGGGCUCUGGCUGAUGGGUUGUUGACCCUGCAAUUAAAAUGCAAACAUCAGCACCUGAUUCAAGUGUGCGGUCGCCUACUGAAUAAUGGAAAAGUGCAAAAAGUUGGCGAAAAAAAGUCGCUUCAUUUGCACGUUGUUUAAAAGGGGGCUGUCUAUUUUUCUUGAAUGUGAAAAGAGAGGAGUCUGGAUCAAUAAAAG